GACGAACGCUGGCGGCGUGCCUAAUACAUGCAAGUAGAACGCUGAAGGAGGAGCUUGCUUCUCUGGAUGAGUUGCGAACGGGUGAGUAACGCGUAGGUAACCUGCCUGGUAGCGGGGGAUAACUAUUGGAAACGAUAGCUAAUACCGCAUAAGAGUAGAUGUUGCAUGACAUUUGCUUAAAAGGUGCAAUUGCAUCACUACCAGAUGGACCUGCGUUGUAUUAGCUAGGUGGUGAGGUAACGGCUCACCAAGGCAACGAUACAUAGCCGACCUGAGAAGGUGGUCGGCCACAAUGGGACUGAGACACGGCCCAGACUCCUACGGGAAGGAGCAGUAGGGAAUCUUCGGCAAUGGACGGAAGUCUGACCGAACAACGCCGCGUGAGUGAAGAAGGUUUUCGGAUCGUAAAGCUCUGUUGUAAGGGAAGGACGAGUGUGGGAGUGGAAAGUUCACACUGUGACGGUAUCUUACCAGAAAGGGACGGCUAACUACGUG
rnacentral:rRNA from 1 species